rnacentral:lncRNA from 11 species
GCUACUUUAAAACUGGAUUAUAUGGUCAAUGUAGAUGUGUCCAUGACCUGAAAAUAGGUUUGUGAGGCUAGGAAACAACAAGCAGAAAGGUUACAUGUCCCAUCUCUCACCUAUUACUUGUGUCUUGAAAUGCCUUUCUAUCUGUCUUAUGUUUUGUUUUGAACACUCUGAAAGGUCCAACCACACUGCUUCUGUCCCAUCAUCAAGUAUCAUAUGUCAAUUCAAUAACCCUACAGAAAAGAAACAUAUAAAGCACAAGAGAAAAAGAAUGUGCUGAGAUCUGUGUUAACAUGUCAACAACCUAGCUCAAUUCUCAUUCCUACAUCGACAGAAUAGAAUCACCUUACAUUGCCAGCAAAGAGUGUAUGUAUAACUGAAACAUUGUCCUUUGUUUUUUUUCCUUUUGAUGACAUUGAAGAUUUAACUGGGAGAAGUAAAUUAAUCUUGAAGCGCAUGAGGUGUAAUUACCAUCAGCUCAACACAAUGUGAAUUUAUUCAUUUGUGAUAACCAAUCAAUAAACUAUUCCUCUUGGCUCAUAAAAGAAGAUGGUCAGUUAGCAUACUUGAUGAGGCAAAUGGAAACUCUUUGAUCAAAGACAAGGCUGGGCCGUCAUCUUUUUCUACUGGCUUGGGGACUCCCAUGCAGUCCAUGCAACAAUAGAGGGUUUGGCCAGAUCAAGGGUGCUGUGGUUUUAGCUUUGAAUAUGUUUUUAAUCAGUUUUGAUGGAUUUUAACUGUAUUUAAAAACAUUUAUAUUCAAUUAUGUUUGUAUGUUUAUGGAUUUUAAAUUCUAUUGAAAUGUUUUUAAUGUAAGCUGCUUUGUGAAGAGAAAAAACGGGGUAUAAAUAAAUACCACCACCACCAUCAUAAUUUUCUGGCACAUGUGGCAUUCCAGCCUCUCCCCCUUACAUGAAUAGUUCUCCUAUUCUAGAAAGUGAGCCAUGACAUCUGAAAAACAUAGAUGCCUAAUAUGGCCAAUGAGAACAGACUACCGUCUCUGUCAUUUGGAAUCUCCAGCUAGUCUAUUACAAUAGCUAUCAUGAUACCCAAGCAAACAGUUAGAGGGAGGAAAAUUACUUCUCCUUUGUGGGUUGAUUGUGUGUAUUUAUUCCUUAGGGAACUGAAACACAACAGGUUAUCUUAAUCUCCUAUUUGUGCUGCAUCAUUUAUUAUAAUUUGGAUUGAUAAUUCCUACAGUGGAUUAACUACACAGGAGUCUUGCCUGCUGUUUUCUGGCGAGAGGCUCAGCUGCUCUAUGGUCUAUGAGCAGGAUCUAUGGUUGAACAGGCAUGUCAGUCAUGUGCAGAUUGCUGCUUACACACACUAGAAAAAACCCAUCUACAUGUGUAUAAUGCAAAGACCACCUGAACCUUCUUCAUUGACACAGUUAAAUACAGUUCUCUGUACAAGUUGGGCAAGAUUUUUUUGAAUGUAAAAAAAAGUUUCCCAAUUGUCAUUGUUGUGUGCCAUUACAUCAUUUCUGGCAUAUGGCAUAAGAUUGGUGAAGGCAGGACAAUAGGUCAAUAUAGAUGGCUUCAUUGGACAAGAAACCGACUAACAUAUUAGUGUUUUCCUUUCAGACAGAUCCCUUUCCCAAUAGCUCUAGCAUAGGUUUUAUACGUAUCACAUUUUUCUUUAAAAAUAGUCUGUUUGAUUUCCAAAUCUAUCUUAAACAUUGUCAUGAAAUUCACAUAACAUAAGUUUUAAAAUAAAUUAAGUUUGCAAGAGGUGCUUAAUGCUUGGUUGGCCUUAACUGAUUAACAAAAGCAUUUGCUGAAGAUAAUUUAUGGCUCUUCAUAGCAAAUGAUUUGUGGCGCAGCUGGAACAUAAAAUAUAACCAUCAAAUGUCUUGUCAGAAUCAAAUAGGCCCAGAAUUGGGACUUGCUACAUUGUUUCUGAAAGAUGUCGUUCCAUAUAAAUGCCUUUAAUGUCUGAUAGAACAUUCUUAUGAGCACGAUGACAAAUGCAAUAACC